rnacentral:rRNA from 1 species
CUACGGGCCGCAGCAGUGGGGAAUAUUGCACAAUGGGCGCAAGCCUGAUGCAGCCAUGCCGCGUGUAUGAAGAAGGCCUUCGGGUUGUAAAGUACUUUCAGCGGGGAGGAAGGGAGUAAAGUUAAUACCUUUGCUCAUUGACGUUACCCGCAGAAGAAGCACCGGCUAACUCCGUGCCAGCAGCCGCGGUAAUACGGAGGGUGCAAGCGUUAAUCGGAAUUACUGGGCGUAAAGCGCACGCAGGCGGUUUGUUAAGUCAGAUGUGAAAUCCCCGGGCUCAACCUGGGAACUGCAUCUGAGACUGGCAAGCUUGAGUCUCGUAGAGGGGGGUAGAAUUCCAGGUGUAGCGGUGAAAUGCGUAGAGAUCUGGAGGAAUACCGGUGGCGAAGGCGGCCCCCUGGACGAAGACUGACGCUCAGGUGCGAAAGCGUGGGGAGCAAACAGGAUUAGAUACCCUAGUAGUC